rnacentral:misc_RNA from 1 species
GAUGAAGAACGUAGCGAAAUGCGAUAAGUAAUGUGAAUUGCAGAAUUCAGUGAAUCAUCGAAUGUUUGAACGCACAUUGCGCCCGCUGGUAUUCCGGCGGGCAUGCCUGUUCGAGCGUCAUUUCAACCCUCAAGCUCUCCGGAGUUUGGUGUUGGGGCGCCUGGGGCUUUUCGACCUCAGGGCCCUCAAGUCCAUCGGCGGGACCGCCAGGACACUGAGCGCAGUAGUAUUAUUUCGCUCGGUAGGAUGUUCCACGGCGGGUCGAUCUGGCCGCUAAACCCCCCAAUUCUCACCAAAGGUUGACCUCGGAUCAGGUAGGAAUACCCGCUGAACUUAAGCAUAUCAAUAAGCGGAGGA